CCAUGGUGACCAUAGGGUGGCCAUAGGGGCUGUGGGUGCUGUGGGGUGGCCGUGAUGACCAUAGGGUGCCCAUGGGGGCUGUGGGCGCUAUGGGGUGGUCAAGGGGCUAUGGGUGCUCUUAGGGGAACUGUGGGUGCUAUGAGGCAUCAGUGGGUGCUGUGAGGUCUAUGAGUGCUAUAGGGGAUCUAUGCUUGCUAUGGGGGUCUAUGGGUGCUGUAGAGGAUCUAUGGGUGAUAUGGAGGUCUCUGGGUGCUAUAAGGCAUCAGUGGGUGCUGUGCGGUCUAUGGGUGCUAUAGAGGAUCUAUGGGUGCUAUAGAGGAUCUAUGGGUACUGUAGAGGAUCUAUGGGUGCUGUGAGGUCUAGGGAUGCUAUAGAAGACCUAUGGGUGCUAUAGAGCAUCUAAGGGUGCUGUGGGGGUCUCUGCGUGCAGAGGAUCUAUGGGUGCUGCGGGGGUCUAUGGGUGCUAUAGAGGAUCUCUGGGUGCUUUGGGGGUCUCUGGGUGCUGUAGAGGGGUGCUGGGUGCUAUAGAGGAUCUGUGGGUGCUAUGGGGGUCUCUGGGUGCUGUCGAGGAUCUAUGGGUGCUGUGGGGGUCUCUGGGUGCUAUAGAGGAUCUGUGGGUGCUGUGGGUGUCUCUGGGUGCUAUAGAGGAUCAUGGGUGCUAUGGGGGUCUCUGGGUGCUAUAGAGGAUCUGUGGGUGCUAUGGGGGUCUCUGGGUGCUAUAGAGGAUCUGUGGGUGCUAUGGGGGUCUCUGGGUGCUAUCGAGGAUCUAUGGGUGCUAUAAGAGUCUCUGGGUGCUAUAGAGGAUCUAUGGGUGCUGCGGGGGUCUAUGGGUGCUAUAGAGGAUCUGUGGGUGCUGUGGGUGUCUCUGGGUGCUAUAGAGGAUCAUGGGUGCUAUGGGGGUCUCUGGGUGCUAUCGAGGAUCUAUGGGUGCUAUGGGGGUCUCGGUGCUAUAGAGGAUCUGUGGGUGCUGCGGGGGUCUAUGGGUGCUAUAGAGGAUCUGUGGGUGCUGUGGGUGUCUCUGGGUGCUAUAGAGGAUCUGUGGGUGCUGUGGGUGUCUCUGGGUGCUAUAGAGGAUCUGUGGGUGCUGUGGGUGUCUCUGGGUGCUAUAGAGGAUCUAUGGGUGC